AAAAGCCUCUUGUCAAUAAUGUGAUCUACAGAAAAUGCAUACGGGGAGGAGGGUAUAGCUCAGUUGGUAGAGUGUGUGUUUAGCAUGCACAAGAUCCUGGGCUCAAUUCCCAGUAACUCCAUUAAAGAAAAAAUGUACUCAAUAAAUCACAGAAAUAUUUUUUUCUCCUACAGUAAUGGAAAUAAAAACCUUUCUGCUGUCCCUCAAUACACUGAGCUCACACCUGACUCAGAGCCUUCACAGUAACUCUGGGAUUUUCUCACUACUCCAUCAGCCACCUCACUCAGUCUCCAUUCGGACAGUCCCUCCUCAAAGACGGCUUUUCUGGCCACCCUACUGAAAAGAAUGACCCAAUUCCACUCCCAUCAUCCCCUAGCUCCUUAGAAUGCUUUCUUUUAUUUAUAGCACUUACCAAUGCCCGAAAUGUGUUAUCAAUAUCAAUUUUGAAGGCACCAGAGGAACACAUACCUCUUUACUGAGAUGGGAAGAGCA